GAUGAAGAACGUAGCAAAAUGCGAUACUUGGUGUGAAUUGCAGAAUCCCGUGAACCAUCGAGUUUUUGAACGCAAGUUGCGCCCGAAGCCAUUAGGCCGAGGGCACGCCUGCCUGGGCGUCACACGUCGUUGCCCCCCCAUCUACUCCUUCGGGAUUGCGGGGGGCGGAUGAUGGCCUCCCGUGCGCCUCGUCGCGCGGUUGGCCUAAAUGCCAAGUCCUCGGCGACGCACGCCACGACAAUCGGUGGUUGCGAAACCUCGGUUGCCCGUCGUGUGCGGUCGUCGCGCAUCGAGGGCUCGAAAAAAUUGCCGGGCUUCGGCUCGACUUUCAACGCGACCCCAGGUCAGGCGGGGUUACCCGCUGAAUUUAAGCAUAUCAAUAAGCGGAGGA
rnacentral:misc_RNA from 1 species